rnacentral:rRNA from 1 species
CACGUAGGGCGCAAGCGUUGUCCGGAAUUAUUGGGCGUAAAGAGCUCGUAGGCGGUCUGUUGCGUCCGCUGUGAAAACUCGGGGCUUAACCCCGAGCCUGCAGUGGAUACGGGCAGACUAGAGGUAGGUAGGGGAGAAUGGAAUUCCCGGUGUAGCGGUGAAAUGCGCAGAUAUCGGGAGGAACACCGGUGGCGAAGGCGGUUCUCUGGGCCUUACCUGACGCUGAGGAGGCGAAAGCGUGGGGAGCGAACAGG